UUGUCUCAAAGAUUAAGCCAUGCAUGUCUCAGUACAAGCCAAAUUAAGGUGAAACCGCGAAAGGCUCAUUAAAUCAGUUAUGGUUCCUUAGAUCGUACCCACAUUUACUUGGAUAACUGUGGUAAUUCUAGAGCUAAUACAUGCAAACAGAGUCCCGACCGGAGACGGAAGGGACGCUUUUAUUAGAUCAAAACCAAUCGGUGACGGGUUUCGGCUCGUCAUCGUACAACUUGGUGACUCUGAAUAACUUUAUGCUGAUCGCACGGUCUNGCACCGGCGACGCAUCUUUCAAAUGUCUGCCUUAUCAACUGUCGAUGGUAGGUUCUGCGCCUACCAUGGUUGUAACGGGUAACGGGGAAUCAGGGUUCGAUUCCGGAGAGGGAGCCUGAGAAACGGCUACCACAUCCAAGGAAGGCAGCAGGCGCGCAAAUUACCCACUCCCGGCACGGGGAGGUAGUGACGAAAAAUAACGAUACGGGACUCAUCCGAGGCCCCGUAAUCGGAAUGAGUACACUCUAAAUCCUUUAACGAGGAUCAAUUGGAGGGCAAGUCUGGUGCCAGCAGCCGCGGUAAUUCCAGCUCCAAUAGCGUAUAUUAAAGUUGUUGCGGUUAAAAAGCUCGUAGUCGAAAUUGUGUCCCACGCCGCCGGUUCAUCGCUCGCGGUGUUAACUGGCGUGUCGCGGGACGUCCUGCCGGUGGGCUUAGCUCGCAAGGGCGGCCCAACUCAAUCCCGCCGCGGUGCUCUUCAUUGAGUGUCGAGGUGGGCCGGCACGUUUACUUUGAACAAAUUAGAGUGCUUAAAGCAGGCUAAAAUUUUGCCUGAAUAUUCUGUGCAUGGAAUAAUGAAAUAGGACCUCGGUUCUAUUUUGUUGGUUUUCGGAACCCCGAGGUAAUGAUUAAUAGGAACUGAUGGGGGCAUUCGUAUUGCGACGUUAGAGGUGAAAUU
rnacentral:rRNA from 1 species